UACGAAGGGGGCUAGCGUUGUUCGGAAUUACUGGGCGUAAAGCGUGCGCAGGCGGCUUCUCAAGUCAGGGGUGAAAGCCCAGAGCUCAACUCUGGAAUUGCCUUUGAGACUGAGUGGCUUGAGUACGGGAGAGGUGAGUGGAAUUCCCAGUGUAGAGGUGAAAUUCGUAGAUAUUAGGAAGAACACCAGUGGCGAAGGCGGCUCACUGGCCCGGUACUGACGCUGAGGCGCGAAAGCGUGGGGAGCAAACAGG
rnacentral:rRNA from 1 species